rnacentral:rRNA from 1 species
UACAGAGACUGCAAGCGUUAUUGCGGAUUCACUGGGCGUAAAGGGUGCGCAGGCGGCCAAGUGUGUGAGGCGUGAAAGCCCGAAGCUUAACUUCGGAAUUGCACCUCAAACUACAUGGCUAGAGCAUUGGAGAGGGUAGCGGAAUUCACGGUGUAGCAGUGAAAUGCGUAGAUACCGUGAGGAACACCAGAGGCGAAGGCGGCUACCUGGACAAUUGCUGACGCUCAGGCACGAAAGCGUGGGGAGCAAAAGGG